CCUACGGGAGGCUGCAGUGAGGAAUAUUGGUCAAUGGGCGCUAGCCUGAACCAGCCAAGUAGCGUGAAGGAUGACUGCCCUCUGGGUUGUAAACUUCUUUUAUAUGGGAAUAAAGUGCAGUAUGUAUACUGCUUUGCCUGUCCCUUAUGAAUCAGGAUCGGCUAACUCCGUGCCAGCAGCCGCGGUAAUACGGAGGAUCCGAGCGUUAUCCGGAUUUAUUGGGUUUAAAGGGAGCGUAGGCGGGGUGGUAAGUCAGUUGUGAAAGUUUGCGGCUCAACCGUAAAAUUGCAGUUGAUACUGGCAUCCUUGAGUACAGUAGAGGUAGGCGGAAUUCGUGGUGUAGCGGUGAAAUGCUUAGAUAUCACGAAGAACUCCGAUUGCGAAGGCAGCCUGCUGGACUGUAACUGACGCUGAUGCUCGAAAGUGUGGGUAGCAAACAGGAUUAGAUACCCGUGUAGUC
rnacentral:rRNA from 1 species